GCAGUGGCUGUGUGGAGAGAGGUCUGGGCCCCGGGAAGCCUGGGAUUGAACUCAGGACCUUGUGUUUUGGGAGGCAGCAGAACCACUGAGCUACAUCCCCGGCCCACAGUGUCUUUUCUGUUACGGUAACUGAACACUGCAGACUGGCAGACUGAGAACAGAAGUUUAUUUUGAUCAUGGUUCUGGAUCCUGGGAGUCCAAGAGCACA
rnacentral:lncRNA from 1 species